rnacentral:rRNA from 1 species
CGUCUGGAAAGGCGUGCGAUACAGGGUGACAGCCCCGUACACAAAAAUGCACAUACUGUGAGCUCGAUGAGUAGGGCGGGACACGUGGUAUCCUGUCUGAAUAUGGGGGGACCAUCCUCCAAGGCUAAAUACUCCUGACUGACCGAUAGUGAACCAGUACCGUGAGGGAAAGGCGAAAAGAACCCCGGCGAGGGGAGUGAAAAAGAACCUGAAACCGUGUACGUACAAGCAGUGGGAGCACGCUUAGGCGUGUGACUGCGUACCUUUUGUAUAAUGGGUCAGCGACUUAUAUUCUGUAGCAAGGUUAACCGAAUAGGGGAGCCGAAGGGAAACCGAGUCUUAACUGGGCGUUAAGUUGCAGGGUAUAGACCCGAAACCCGGUGAUCUAGCCAUGGGCAGGUUGAAGGUUGGGUAACACUAACUGGAGGACCGAACCGACUAAUGUUGAAAAAUUAGCGGAUGACUUGUGGCUGGGGGUGAAAGGCCAAUCAAACCGGGAGAUAGCUGGUUCUCCCCGAAAGCUAUUUAGGUAGCGCCUCGUGAAUUCAUCUCCGGGGGUAGAGCACUGUUUCGGCAAGGGGGUCAUCCCGACUUACCAACCCGAUGCAAACUGCGAAUACCGGAGAAUGUUAUCACGGGAGACACACGGCGGGUGCUAACGUCCGUCGUGAAGAGGGAAACAACCCAGACCGCCAGCUAAGGUCCCAAAGUCAUGGUUAAGUGGGAAACGAUGUGGGAAGGCCCAGACAGCCAGGAUGUUGGCUUAGAAGCAGCCAUCAUUUAAAGAAAGCGUAAUAGCUCACUGGUCGAGUCGGCCUGCGCGGAAGAUGUAACGGGGCUAAACCAUGCACCGAAGCUGCGGCAGCGACGCUUAUGCGUUGUUGGGUAGGGGAGCGUUCUGUAAGCCUGUGAAGGUGUGCUGUGAGGUAUGCUGGAGGUAUCAGAAGUGCGAAUGCUGACAUAAGUAACGAUAAAGCGGGUGAAAAGCCCGCUCGCCGGAAGACCAAGGGUUCCUGUCCAACGUUAAUCGGGGCAGGGUGAGUCGACCCCUAAGGCGAGGCCGAAAGGCGUAGUCGAUGGGAAACAGGUUAAUAUUCCUGUACUUGGUGUUACUGCGAAGGGGGGACGGAGAAGGCUAUGUUGGCCGGGCGACGGUUGUCCCGGUUUAAGCGUGUAGGCUGGUUUUCCAGGCAAAUCCGGAAAAUCAAGGCCGAGGCGUGAUGACGAGGCACUACGGUGCUGAAGCAACAAAUGCCCUGCUUCCAGGAAAAGCCUCUAAGCAUCAGGUAACAUCAAAUCGUACCCCAAACCGACACAGGUGGUCAGGUAGAGAAUACCAAGGCGCUUGAGAGAACUCGGGUGAAGGAACUAGGCAAAAUGGUGCCGUAACUUCGGGAGAAGGCACGCUGAUACGUAGGUGAAGCGACUUGCUCGUGGAGCUGAAAUCAGUCGAAGAUACCAGCUGGCUGCAACUGUUUAUUAAAAACACAGCACUGUGCAAACACGAAAGUGGACGUAUACGGUGUGACGCCUGCCCGGUGCCGGAAGGUUAAUUGAUGGGGUUAGCGCAAGCGAAGCUCUUGAUCGAAGCCCCGGUAAACGGCGGCCGUAACUAUAACGGUCCUAAGGUAGCGAAAUUCCUUGUCGGGUAAGUUCCGACCUGCACGAAUGGCGUAAUGAUGGCCAGGCUGUCUCCACCCGAGACUCAGUGAAAUUGAACUCGCUGUGAAGAUGCAGUGUACCCGCGGCAAGACGGAAAGACCCCGUGAACCUUUACUAUAGCUUGACACUGAACAUUGAGCCUUGAUGUGUAGGAUAGGUGGGAGGCUUUGAAGUGUGGACGCCAGUCUGCAUGGAGCCGACCUUGAAAUACCACCCUUUAAUGUUUGAUGUUCUAACGUGGACCCGUGAUCCGGGUUGCGGACAGUGUCUGGUGGGUAGUUUGACUGGGGCGGUCUCCUCCUAAAGAGUAACGGAGGAGCACGAAGGUUGGCUAAUCCUGGUCGGACAUCAGGAGGUUAGUGCAAUGGCAUAAGCCAGCUUGACUGCGAGCGUGACGGCGCGAGCAGGUGCGAAAGCAGGUCAUAGUGAUCCGGUGGUUCUGAAUGGAAGGGCCAUCGCUCAACGGAUAAAAGGUACUCCGGGGAUAACAGGCUGAUACCGCCCAAGAGUUCAUAUCGACGGCGGUGUUUGGCACCUCGAUGUCGGCUCAUCACAUCCUGGGGCUGAAGUAGGUCCCAAGGGUAUGGCUGUUCGCCAUUUAAAGUGGUACGCGAGCUGGGUUUAGAACGUCGUGAGACAGUUCGGUCCCUAUCUGCCGUGGGCGCUGGAGAACUGAGGGGGGCUGCUCCUAGUACGAGAGGACCGGAGUGGACGCAUCACUGGUGUUCGGGUUGUCAUGCCAAUGGCACUGCCCGGUAGCUAAAUGCGGAAGAGAUAAGUGCUGAAAGCAUCUAAGCACGAAACUUGCCCCGAGAUGAGUUCUCCCUGACCCUUUAAGGGUCCUGAAGGAACGUUGAAGACGACGACGUUGAUAGGCCGGGUGUGUAAGCGCAGCGAUGCGUUGAGCUAACCGGUACUAAUGAACCGUGAGGCUUAACCUU